AUCGCGCGAGAAAAGAAAAUAAUCCCACAAACAAAGGAAUUAAUCAUUAUAUUAUGUAGGAGGGAAAGAUGGCCGAGUGGUUCAAGGCGUAGCAUUGGAACUGCUAUGUAGGCUUUUUGUUUACCGAGGGUUCGAAUCCCUCUCUUUCCGUUUCCAUUGAUUAUUUGGUAUUUUUUUUCUUUUGACCUUAUGGAGCUUCUUUUGUUUGAUUUUUUUUACUUACUCUUUUAUUUACUAGUUAAAAAUGUAUAAUACG